rnacentral:tRNA from 1 species
GGUUCCAUGGUGUAAUGGUUAGCACUCUGAACUCUGAAUUCAACGAUCUGAGUUCAAAUCUCGGCGGGACCU